rnacentral:rRNA from 1 species
GAUGAACGCUAGCGGCAGGCCUAAUACAUGCAAGUCGAACGAGAUUAAGAGGCUUGCUUCUUAUGAAAGUGGCGCACGGGUGCGUAACGCGUAUGCAACCUACCUUAAUCAGGGGGAUAGCCCGAAGAAAUUCGGAUUAAGACCGCAUAAAAACACAGGAUAGCAUUAUCCAAUGUUCAAAUAUUUAUAGGAUUAAGAUGGGCAUGCGUGUCAUUAGCUAGUUGGCGGGGUAACGGCUCACCAAGGCGACGAUGACUAGGGGAUCUGAGAGGAUGACCCCCCACACUGGUACUGAGACACGGACCAGACUCCUACGGGAGGCAGCAGUAAGGAAUAUUGGUCAAUGGAGGGAACUCUGAACCAGCCAUGCCGCGUGCAGGAAGACAGCCCUCUGGGUCGUAAACUGCUUUUAUUCGGGAAUAAACCUUUCUACGUGUAGGAAGCUGAAUGUACCGAAGGAAUAAGGAUCGGCUAACUCCGUG